ACACGACUACAUUAGAUACCCCCGUAGUCCUAGCCGUAAACGAUACUCGCUAGGUGUCGGCCACGGUGCGACCGUUGUCGGUGCCGUAGGGAAGCCGUGAAGCGAGCCACCUGGGAAGUACGGCCGCAAGGCUGAAACUUAAAGGAAUUGGCGGGGGAGCACCGCAACGGGAGGAGCGUGCGGUUCAAUUGGAUUCAACGCCGGACAACUCACCAGGAGCGACGGUUACAUGAAGGUCAGGCUGAUGACCUUGCCUGAUUUUCCG
rnacentral:rRNA from 1 species